GACGAACGCUGGCGGCGUGCUUAACACAUGCAAGUCGAACGGAAAGGCCUAGCUUGCUGGGUACUCGAGUGGCGAACGGGUGAGUAACACGUGGGUGAUCUGCCCCUGACUUUGGGAUAAGCCUGGGAAACUGGGUCUAAUACCGGAUAUUCAUUUUUCCUCGCAUGGGGAUUUGUGGAAAGCUUUUGCGGUUGGGGAUGGGCCCGCGGCCUAUCAGCUUGUUGGUGGGGUAAUGGCCUACCAAGGCGACGACGGGUAGCCGACCUGAGAGGGUGAUCGGCCACACUAGGACUGAGACACGGCCCAGACUCCUACGGGAGGCAGCAGUGGGGAAUAUUGCACAAUGGGCGCAAGCCUGAUGCAGCGACGCCGCGUGAGGGAUGACGGCCUUCGGGUUGUAAACCUCUUUCAGCUCCGACGAAGCGCAAGUGACGGUAGGAGCAGAAGAAGCACCGGCCAACUACGUG
rnacentral:rRNA from 1 species